AUAGAGAUAUGGUACUAUUUGAAAAGAUAUUGUCAAAUUAGAUAAAAAUGGUGCCAAGAGACACUAUGUAUAUAAAUCACUGUAAACAAUCACGAUAUCAGUCCAUUCUAUUCGCAAGCUUAUCAAUGUUAAACAAGUCCCGUAUAUGCUCGUGAUAAUCUGAGAGCUGCUUGUUCAGAGUAUUCAUUCCUAAAAAGUUUUAUCGCAAAAGAAAGAUGGGCAUCAUUUCACCUCUUGUUAAACAACAACAAGCUAUUAAUCACAAUAACAAAAAAAAAUGUAUCAUGUGGUAGCUCUUCGCGAGAGAGUUCUUCUAUAAAAUAAUUUCUACCGUUAGACUGAGUUCAGUUUGUCUAGAAAUCUUCAGGACUAAACAUGUUCAAGGUAGUGUUUUUGCUAUUAGGCGUCGGUUGUCUGGCUGCUCUUGGCCAGCAUCUUGAUAGAAAGGAAUAUGUGGUUUUCCAUGAAGAGGUAAAUUGGAUUGGUGCGAUUGAGUUCUGCCACCGAUUGAGAAUGAAACCGGCUGUCAUAAACAAUCAUGAGGAGCAACAACAAAUUGAAAUAGCUAUUACGUUCAACCAAAGACCGAAUCCCGACCCUCAUUUCGGAGAGUCAUCAAUUUACUGGAUUGGUGGCAGUAAUCUUUCUAACAAGCAUGAAUUCUUUUGGGAACCAACUGGAGAGCGAUUCACCUACUCGAAAUGGGAUAUAAAUGAACCAAAUAUGGAAUUCAACUGUGCUGUCAUCAAAUACUCUAGUUCGACACAAGAAACAGGACAAUGGUUAUCAUUUGAAUGCGAUAAACCCCUGCAAAGCUUUGUUUGUGAAGUUUCGUACGAAUAAGGCAACUUAUUGGUGAAAGUAAUAGUGACGACUGGAUGUAUACCAGCGAUAGUAGAAUUAUAAUUUCAUUAAAAUUGCAAUAAAAUAUGAGUUUUUCUGUGCAAA